AUGUCCAUGUGUCCUGACGUGGCCUGGGGAGACGUGUGUACCCAGGAGCUACAGCACAGCCGCAUGGGGUCGGGGGAGGGUCAGGUCCCGGUCACCGGGGGAGGAAGCCACUGGGCAGGCCCUGGACCCGGAGGCAGCUUUGUCCACACUGGCAGGUGCGUGGCUGGAGUGACGCCCAGAGCAGGGCAGUGGCCGAGGCAGGAGGUCCAGUGCCGGCACAACCAGGGCCCGCUCGGCCUGUGUCUGGGGCUGCACAGGGCGGCAGUGUUGUGGUACUGGGGAGGUGACCAUGGCCAGCAGCCGCACCACAACUCCAUGCGGGGAGCAGCUGCCCCCAGGGCACAGCGUGGACGUGUGCGCGUGUCCCCCAUGCGGGAAGCAACUAGAACCAGCUCCAGUGAGGAUCUGCACACACAGGCCUGCAAGGCCAGCUGUGAGGUACGGACAGGGCUCUGUCCAGGGACAGGCGCACGGAUGGAUGGGGGUCAGUACCAGCCCCGUCACCUCUGCACACACAGGGUCAGUGCUGUUCCCGUCACCUCUGCACACACAGGGUCAGUGCUAUCCCCGUCGCCCCCUCUGCACACACAGGGUCAGUGCCGGCCCCGUCGCCCCCUCUGCACACAAAGGGGCAGUGGUGGCCUCGUCACCCCCUCUGCACACACAGGGGCAGUGCCAGCCCCGUCACCUCUGCACACACAGGGUCAGUGCUGUCCCCGUCGCCCCCUCUGCACACACAGGGUCAGUGCCGGCCCCGUCACCUCUGCACACACAGGGUCAGUGCCGGCCCUGUCGCCUCUGCACACACAGGGUCAGUGCUAUUCCCGUCGCCCCCUCUGCACACACAGGGUCAGUGCCGGCCCCGUCGCCCCCCUCUGCACACACAGGGUCAGUGCUGUUCCAUCACUCCAUCUGCACACACAGGGUCAGUGCCGGCCCCGUCGCCUCUGCACACCUGGGGGUCAGUGCCGUCCCCAUCACCUCUGCACACACAGGGUCAGUGCCGGCCCCAUCACCUCUGCACACACAGGGUCAGUGCCGGCCCCAUCACCUCUGCACACACAGGGUCAGUGCCGGCCCCAUCACCUCUGCACACACAGGGUCAGUGCCGGCCCCAUCACCUCUGCACACACAGGGUCAGUGCCGGCCCCAUCACCUCUGCACACACAGGGUCAGUGCCGGCCCCAUCACCUCCUCUGCACACAGAGGGUCAGUGCCGGCCCCGUCACCUCUGCACACACAGGGUCAGUGCCGGCCCUGUCGCCUCUGCACACAGAGGGUCAGUGCCGGCCCCAUCACCUCCUCUGCACACCUGGGGGUCAGUGCCGGCCCCACCUGCUGCCUUCACCUCUGUAG
rnacentral:lncRNA from 1 species